rnacentral:lncRNA from 1 species
CCGGGCCGUCGGCUCUGGGCUGGGCGCUGAGGGCGGGUGGUGGCCUCUGAAAGCAGGGAUCGCCGUGCCCCUGAACGCCUGGCACGGCUGCCGCCACUCGAGUCAGUGGUCAGAACAAAAGGUGCGCUGGGGCAGUGGUGGCUACCGGCGAGUGUUUGGCCGGAGGGGUUUCCUCUGUCCUCCACCAGCUAGCUCUGCAAAGUGAAGUUGCUGACACAUGAAAACCCGCGGGACGCUGGCAGCGUUCUGCCUAAAGCUUUGAGCUGAGCGGUAUAAAACAGACAUCUCCGGAGCCUCCUGGAACUCGCAAGGUGUUUGCAGGCUCCAGACAACCGUCAGUUUGCAGGUUACUCGCUGGGCUGCACGAUCUACUAUGAAGGAAAAGGAAACAAGGAAAACCACCGAGCAUUUCAAGCAAAAGAUCUCAUUCCAGAACCUUCAUUCCACCUGUCUACCUGAACACAAAUACCUGGAGAGAGUGACGCCUAAGAUCAAGUUCCUGGUAUGGAGAACAAGAAGCUGCAGGGCCAGAGAAGGCCCACGUGUGCCUCUAGCACUGGGAAACAGGCAGAUGAGAGCGGACAGAACGCUUGUGGCUCAUGGCCAUUGUAAUUCUUCAGGCUUCUAGUGUUAGCGUAUCUUACUGACCAUUUAGUAAAUAUUGACCAUUUAGUUCUGUUGGGGAAAGAGAAAAAGAGUGCCUAAUAGGUGAGCAGUAGGAAUCGAGCUUGGUUUCUAUUUAGCUUCCAUUUCAUGAUCGGCUAAGUUAAAAGGUGAUUUAUAUUCAACUACUUCCGGAG